rnacentral:lncRNA from 1 species
GCCGGAGUCGAUGAUGGCGCCGCCGGAGGAGAACGUGGAGGAGGAGAAGGCGAGGUUUACGCCGGCGACGCUUAUGCCGGUGAUGUCAAGGCCGUAGAAGGAGGCGCCGCGGGAGAUGGUGGAGAAGGGGGUAGAGGUGGCCGACGGCGCUGGUGGUGGAGGGGAGGCAGUAUGAGAAUUUCUUUUGGUAUUUUUGGGAGGUUUGUUGGACGAAGGAGAUGGGGUGGCGGCCGAGGCCUAAUAGGCCGGCGGCGCCGUUGAAGAGGCCCUGGUUGUUUUGGCCGCAGCCGAAUAGGAAGUUGUCGACGACGUCGGUGGGCGUCACCGUCAGGCGCUCACGGCUGAAGAAGCCGACGGAGAAGGAGGAGUCGCCGUAUUGGAUGCCGUACACGCAUGCCUUUGUGAUUGUGGCACAUGCCGGG